rnacentral:rRNA from 1 species
GAUGAACGCUAGCGGGAGGCUUAACACAUGCAAGUCGAGGGGCAGCAUAGGGUAGCAAUACUCUGAUGGCGACCGGCAAACGGGUGAGUAACGCGUAUGUAACCUACCCUGUACAGGGGGAUAACCCGGAGAAAUUCGGACUAAUAUCCCAUAACAAUAUCCGGGGGCAUCUUUGGAUAUUUAAAGUUCCGGCGGUACGGGAUGGGCAUGCGUAACAUUAGCUAGUUGGUAAGGUAACGGCUUACCAAGGCUUUGAUGUUUAGGGGUCCUGAGAGGGUGGUCCCCCACACUGGUACUGAGACACGGACCAGACUCCUACGGGAGGCAGCAGUGAGGAAUAUUGGUCAAUGGGCGCAAGCCUGAACCAGCCAUCCCGCGUGCAGGAAGACGGCGCUAUGCGUUGUAAACUGCUUUUCCAGGGAGAGAAACUUGCGCACGUGUUGCGCAAUUGACGGUACCCUGGGAAUAAGCAUCGGCUAACUCCGUGCCAGCAGCCGCGGUAAAACGUG